CUACGGAGGGGGCUAGCGUUGUUCGGAAUUACUGGGCGUAAAGCGUACGUAGGCGGACUGAUCAGUUGGGGGUGAAAUCCCAGGGCUUAACCCUGGAACUGCCUUCAAUACUGUCAGUCUUGAGAUUGGAAGAGGUGAGUGGAAUUCCUAGUGUAGAGGUGAAAUUCAUAGAUAUUAGGAGGAACACCAGUGGCGAAGGCGGCUCACUGGUCCAAUACUGACGCUGAGGUACGAAAGCGUGGGGAGCAAACAGGAGUAGAAACCCUUGUAGUCC
rnacentral:rRNA from 1 species